CGUCAGACACUUCCACGCGCCCAUCAGACUAGAGAGACUGGGCACCCUUGGAAAACUCGCACUUUUUAAGGAACUUUCCAGAAGCAGGCAGGAGUCAAAAGGGCCUUCGAACUCCGACUGGAACUACACCACCAGCUUUCCUGGGCUUCCAGCUUGCAGACUGCAAGAUCCUGGGACUUCUGUCUCCAUAAUCAUCCAAAAGCAGAGGACUCUGAGGCCUCAGAGGAUGACGGAGUCUGAAGAUGGAAAGAGCCUGUGUCCCCAAAUCACUACAUGGAGGAAAGCCAAGUGUUACCCAACUAGAAACCCCAUACUGGACUGUUCCAUGAGUG
rnacentral:lncRNA from 1 species